rnacentral:rRNA from 1 species
CCUACGGGAGGCAGCAGUGGGGAAUAUUGCGCAAUGGGCGAAAGCCUGACGCAGCGACGCCGCGUGAGGGAUGAAGGUCUUCGGAUUGUAAACCUCUGUCAGCAGGGAAGAACGGUCACUGUGCUAAUCAGCAGUGAAUUGACGGUACCUGCAAAGGAAGCACCGGCUAAAUCCGUGCCAGAAGCUGCGGUAAUACGGAGGGUGCGUGCGUUAAUCGGAAUUACUGGGCGUAAAGCGCGCGUAGGCGGUAUGUCAAGUCAAGGGUGAAAUCUCCGCGCACAAAGCGGGAACGGCCUUUGAAACUGGCAAACUGGAGUGUGUGAGAGGAAAGUGGAAUUCCAGGUGUAGGAGUGAAAUCCGUAGAUAUCUGGAGGAACAUCAGUGGCGAAGGCGACUAUCUGGCACAUAACUGACGCUGAGGAGCGAAAGCGUGGGUAGCAAACAGGAUUAGAUACCCUAGUAGUC